AUUGAACGCUGGCGGCAGGCCUAACACAUGCAAGUCGAACGGUAGCACAGAGGAGCUUGCUCCUUGGGUGACGAGUGGCGGACGGGUGAGUAAUGUCUGGGAAACUGCCCGAUGGAGGGGGAUAACUACUGGAAACGGUAGCUAAUACCGCAUAACGUCUUCGGACCAAAGUGGGGGACCUUCGGGCCUCAAACCAUCGGAUGUGCCCAGAUGGGAUUAGCUAGUAGGUGGGGUAAUGGCUCACCUAGGCGACUAUCGCUAGCUGGUCUGAGAGGAUGACCAGCCACACUGGAACUGAGACACGGUCCAGACUCCUACGGGAGGCAGCAGUGGGGAAUAUUGCACAAUGGGCGCAAGCCUGAUGCAGCCAUGCCGCGUGUAUGAAGAAGGCCUUCGGGUUGUAAAGUACUUUCAGCGGGGAGGAAGGCGUUAAGGUUAAUAACCUUGGCGAUUGACGUUACCCGCAGAAGAAGCACCGGCUAACUCCGUGCCAGCCGCCGCAGUAA
rnacentral:rRNA from 1 species